rnacentral:rRNA from 1 species
UACGAAGGGGGCUAGCGUUGCUCGGAAUCACUGGGCGUAAAGGGUGCGCAGGCGGACUGGUAAGUCAGUGGUGAAAUCUCGUCGCUUAACGACGAAACUGCCUUUGAUACUAUCAGUCUUGAAUCCGGUAGAGAUCUGUGGAAUUCCGAAGUGUAGCAGUGAAAUGUGUAGAUAUUCGGAAGAACACCAGUGGCGAAGGCAGCAGAUUGGGCCGGUAUUGACGCUCAGGCACGAAAGCAUGGGGAUCAAACAGG